rnacentral:rRNA from 1 species
CAGCCGCCACGGUAACACGAAGGGGGCUAGCGUUGCUCGGAAUGACUGGGCGUAAAGGGCGCGUAGGCGGCGAUCAAAGUCAGGCGUGAAAUUCCUGGGCUCAACCUGGGGGCUGCGCUUGAUACUUGGUUGCUUGAGUGGGGAAGAGGGUCGUGGAAUUCCCAGUGUAGAGGUGAAAUUCGUAGAUAUUGGGAAGAACACCGGUGGCGAAGGCGGCGACCUGGUCCUUGACUGACGCUGAGGCGCGAAAGCGUGGGGAGCAAACAGGAUUAGAUACCCCUGUAGUCCCUGUCUCUUAUAA